rnacentral:rRNA from 1 species
AUUGAACGCUGGCGGCAGGCCUAACACAUGCAAGUCGAGCGGAGCGGCGGACGGGUGCGUAAUGCCUAGGAAUCUGCAUGGUAGUGGGGGAUAACGUCCGUUAACGGGCGCUAAUACCGCAUCCUAUCAGCUUCGCCUAGGCCGGAUUAGCUAGUUGGUGGGGUAAAGGCCUACCAAGGCGACGAUCCUUAACUGGUCUGAGAGGAUGAUCAGUCACACUGGAACUGAGACACGGUCCAGACUCCUACGGGAGGCAGCAGUGGGGAAUAUUGGACAAUGGGCGAAAGCCUGAUCCAGCCAUGCCGCGUGUGUGAAGAAGGUCUUCGGAUUGUAAAGCACUUUAAGUUGGGAGGCGUUACCAACAGAAGAAGCACCGGCUAACUUCGUGCCAGCAGCCGCGGUAAUAC